rnacentral:rRNA from 1 species
UAGGGAAUCUUCGGCAAUGGACGGAAGUCUGACCGAGCAACGCCGCGUGAGUGAAGAAGGUUUUCGGAUCGUAAAGCUCUGUUGUAAGAGAAGAACGAGUGUGAGAGUGGAAAGUUCACACUGUGACGGUAUCUUACCAGAAAGGGACGGCUAACUACGUGCCAGCAGCCGCGGUAAUACGUAGGUCCCGAGCGUUGUCCGGAUUUAUUGGGCGUAAAACGAGCGCAGGCGGUUAGAUAAGUCUGAAGUUAAAGGCUGUGGCUUAACCAUAGUAGGCUUUGGAAACUGUUUAACUUGAGUGCAAGAGGGGAGAGUGGAAUUCCAUGUGUAGCGGUGAAAUGCGUAGAUAUAUGGAGGAACACCGGUGGCGAAAGCGGCUCUCUGGCUUGUAACUGACGCUGAGGCUCGAAAGCGUGGGGAGCAAACAGGAUUAGAUACCCUGGUAGUCCACGCUGUAAACGAUGAGUGCUAGGUGUUAGACCCUUUCCGGGGUUUAGUGCCGUAGCUAACGCAUUAAGCACUCCGCCUGGGGAGUACGACCGCAAGGUUG